CAUGAAGCUGGAAUCGCUAGUAAUCGCGAAUCAGAAUGUCGCGGUGAAUACGUUCCCGGGUCUUGUACACACCGCCCGUCACACCAUGGGAGUCGGAAAUGCCCGAAGUCAGUGACCCAACCGUAAGGAGGGAGCUGCCGAAGGUGGAGCCGGUAACUGGGGUGAAGUCGUAACAAGGUAGC
rnacentral:rRNA from 1 species